rnacentral:rRNA from 1 species
AGCGGACAGAUGGGAGCUUGCUCCCUGAUGUUAGCGGCGGACGGGUGAGUAACACGUGGGUAACCUGCCUGUAAGACUGGGAUAACUCCGGGAAACCGGGGCUAAUACCGGAUGGUUGUUUGAACCGCAUGGUUCAAACAUAAAAGGUGGCUUCGGCUACCACUUACAGAUGGACCCGCGGCGCAUUAGCUAGUUGGUGAGGUAACGGCUCACCAAGGCAACGAUGCGUAGCCGACCUGAGAGGGUGAUCGGCCACACUGGGACUGAGACACGGCCCAGACUCCUACGGGAGGCAGCAGUAGGGAAUCUUCCGCAAUGGACGAAAGUCUGACGGAGCAACGCCGCGUGAGUGAUGAAGGUUUUCGGAUCGUAAAGCUCUGUUGUUAGGGAAGAACAAGUACCGUUCGAAUAGGGCGGUACCUUGACGGUACCUAACCAGAAAGCCACGGCUAACUACGUGCCAGCAGCCGCGGUAAUACGUAGGUGGCAAGCGUUGUCCGGAAUUAUUGGGCGUAAAGGGCUCGCAGGCGGUUUCUUAAGUCUGAUGUGAAAGCCCCCGGCUCAACCGGGGAGGGUCAUUGGAAACUGGGGAACUUGAGUGCAGAAGAGGAGAGUGGAAUUCCACGUGUAGCGGUGAAAUGCGUAGAGAUGUGGAGGAACACCAGUGGCGAAGGCGACUCUCUGGUCUGUAACUGACGCUGAGGAGCGAAAGCGUGGGGAGCGAACAGGAUUAGAUACCCUGGUAGUCCACGCCGUAAACGAUGAGUGCUAAGUGUUAAGGGGGUUUCCGCCCCUUAGUGCUGCAGCUAACGCAUUAAGCACUCCGCCGGGGGAGUACGGUCGCAAGACUGAAACUCAAAGGAAUUGACGGGGGCCCGCACAAUCGGUGGAACAUGUGGUUUAAUUCGAAGCAACCCGUAGAACCUUAACAGGUCUUGACAUCCUCUGACAAUCCUAAA